CCAAUCCUCCCACCGCCCGCCCUCAGGACAGCCUGCCUUCUCCCGACCCCCCACUUCUUAAGACUUCCCUCCCCCUCCUUUUCCCUCCCUCCUUCAUCUCCCAGCUCUUCUAGGGUUCCCCUUUCCUCAGGCCCUCACCAAGAUCCCUUCCUCCCCAAACUCUCCUCGAGACCCUCACCUUAAGGUCCCCCUUCCCCCUUCCCUCAGCAACCCCCACCACCCUCCCCCUCAAACUGCCAGCUCCUCCCAUCCCUUUCACUCAUUCUUAUCCCUACAGGCUGGGGUGGGGCACCUCUUCCUUUGAGUUGCUUCAGUUUCCCCAGCUUAGCCCUCUGCCCAGGGAGGUCAAAGGUGCCUGAGGCUCGCUCCCUAGGCCAGGGAGAUGGGUAGGAGGGGUAGGACAGGCCCUGCCCUCCCCACCAUCCCUCAUGUGGUUCUUCUGGGCCUUCCUUGUGCUGGUUCACCCUCUGGGGGGCCCUCCUCUGGGGCCCCCCAGCUGCCCUUGGGAGCCCUUUGAGGUUCUUACAGCUGUCAUGGAGGCCAUAGGCAACAGAAAUGAUGGCAUCCUUUAUACUCCGGACAGUCUCUCUACAGGUGAUGACACGUUGCUGCUCUCCUCAUCCCGAUGAGGCACCUUCUACCUUCCUGCUUCUGCCUUUAGGAUUCCUGAAGUUCCCCCUCCCUCCCACCCCUCCCCAGGCCAUGUCCAGCCCCUGGCACUUGGCUGGGCACCGAGUUGGCAUUUAUAUGUUUAUCAAAUAAAUGAAUCAAAAUCA